AAACAAAUCUCACUGCGAAAAAUAUUGUGUGCGACCUUGCUGAAUUGGGACAGAGCGCGCGAUGUUAUUGUAAGCAACGGUAAAAAAUCGAUUGAGGACACCUCGAUGAGUGCACCCGUCCCGCUUUGUCUUGUCACGUGAUGUGC
ensembl:ncRNA ZK742.8 ncRNA